rnacentral:rRNA from 1 species
AUUGAACGCUGGCGGCAGGCUUAACACAUGCAAGUCGAGCGGUAACAGAGAGAAGCUUGCUUCUCUGCUGACGAGCGGCGGACGGGUGAGUAAUGCCUAGGAAUCUGCCUAGUAGUGGGGGAUAACUUGCCGAAAGGUAAGCUAAUACCGCAUACGUCCUACGGGAGAAAGGAGGGGACCUUCGGGCCUUUCGCUAUUAGAUGAGCCUAGGUCGGAUUAGUUAGUUGGUGAGGUAAUGGCUCACCAAGACCGCGAUCCGUAACUGGUCUGAGAGGAUGAUCAGUCACACUGGAACUGAGACACGGUCCAGACUCCUGCGGGAGGCAGCAGUGGGGAAUAUUGGACAAUGGGGGGAACCCUGAUCCAGCCAUGCCGCGUGUGUGAAGAAGGUCUUAGGAUUGUAAAGCACUUUAAGUUGGGAGGAAGAGCAGUUAACUAAUAUUUGACUGUUUUGACGUUACCGACAGAAUAAGCACCGGCUAACUUCGUG